rnacentral:lncRNA from 1 species
ACGAAAAAACAUAAACAAACACAGAAGCUACGUCAGCUUGGUACGAACUUUGACAGUUCAAAGUUUUAGCUGCGUUGCUAGCGCGUUGCUAGAUUUGGUAACUCGCUCCCAACCGGGGCGUUACGUUUUAGUUUAGCAACGCAUUUGGCUACGACCGGUGUGGGAGCAAAGUUACUAACACGCGUUACAAAACCUUAAAACCUGCCUAAUACUCACGCUGGUAAGGUUGCUCUUACAUCGGUCACCCUAGUACAACUCUGACUUCAAAACCCAAUGACAAUUCUCGCCGGACUUGCGGGCAACUAUAAAUGGUAACCUACAAAUUUGGGCCCUUUUGCAGAGCAGUUGAGAAGAAGAGCAGUUCUCCUUUGGUAUUCCUAUAUAAUUUAAGUUUAGGAUUAGUUUUAGAUCGUAAUUUCUUCAUCGCUCACUUACUAGUGCAGUUGCACAAAGAUAAUAUAAAUUUGAACAACG